GACGAACGCUGGCGGCGUGCUUAACACAUGCAAGUCGAACGAUGAAGCGGUGCUUGCACCGUGGAUUAGUGGCGAACGGGUGAGUAACACGUGAGUAAUCUGCCCUGCACUCUGGGAUAGCCACCGGAAACGGUGAUUAAUACCGGAUAUGACAUAUCGACGCAUGUUGGUGUGUGGAAAGUUUUUUCGGUGUGGGAUGAGCUCGCGGCCUAUCAGCUUGUUGGUGGGGUAAUGGCCUACCAAGGCUUCGACGGGUAGCCGGCCUGAGAGGGUGACCGGUCACACUGGGACUGAGACACGGCCCAGACUCCUACGGGAGGCAGCAGUGGGGAAUAUUGGACAAUGGGCGGAAGCCUGAUCCAGCAACGCCGCGUGAGGGAUGACGGCCUUCGGGUUGUAAACCUCUUUCAGCAUUGACGAAGCCGUAUCUUUUGUGGGUGUGGUGACGGUAGGUGCAGAAGAAGGACCGGCCAACUACGUGCCAGCCGCCGCGGUAAGAC
rnacentral:rRNA from 1 species